rnacentral:rRNA from 1 species
UACGUAGGGUGCGAGCGUUGUCCGGAAUUACUGGGCGUAAAGAGCUCGUAGGUGGUUUGUCGCGUUGUUCGUGAAAACUCACAGCUCAACUGUGGGCGUGCGGGCGAUACGGGCAGACUGGAGUACUGCAGGGGAGACUGGAAUUCCCGGUGUAGCGGUGAAAUGCGCAGAUAUCGGGAGGAACACCGGUGGCGAAGGCGGUUCUCUGGGCCUGUACUGACGCUGAGGAGCGAAAGCGUGGGGAGCGAACAGG